GUUGUACUUCCUCCGUCCCAAAAUUCUUGUCUUAGAUUAGUCUAGAUACGGAUGUAUCUAAUACUAAAACGUGACUUGAUACAUCCGUAUUUAGACAAAUCUAAGACAAGAAUUUUGGGACAGAGGGAGUACUAA
rnacentral:pre_miRNA from 1 species